GUGCUUUGCUUUAGCAGCACAUGUACUAAAACUGGAACAUGCAGAGAAGAUGAGCAUGGCCCCUGUGCAAGGAUGACACACGCAUUUGUGAAGCACUCCAUACUUUU
rnacentral:snRNA from 1 species